GGGCUUGUAGCUCAGGUGGUUAGAGCGCACGCCUGAUAAGCGUGAGGUCGGAGGUUCAACUCCUCCCAAGCCCA
rnacentral:tRNA from 5 species